GAAUUUAUCAGCAUCUCCCAAGAAGAAAUCACAAGAAACAUAAAUGAAUUGGGAAUUUCUGAGUCUGCUGAAGUUCUCACAGAGAAAGCUAAGCCCACUGUGG